GAUGAACGCUAGCGGCAGGCCUAAUACAUGCAAGUCGAGCGGCAAGUCGAGGAGUAAUCUAAGACCUAGAGCGGCGCACGGGUGCGUAACGCGUAUGCAACCUACCUCAUACAGGGGGAUAGCCCGGAGAAAUCUGGAUUAAUACCCCAUGGGACUGCGAAGAGGCAUUUCUAUGCAGUUAAAGAUUCAUCGGUAUGAGAUGGGCAUGCGUCUGAUUAGCUAGUUGGCGUGUAACGGACCACCAAGGCGACGAUCAGUAGGGGUUCUGAGAGGAAGGUCCCCCA
rnacentral:rRNA from 1 species